GACGAACGCUGGCGGCGUGCCUAAUACAUGCAAGUUGAGCGCUGAAGGUUGGUACUUGUACCAACUGGAUGAGCAGCGAACGGGUGAGUAACGCGUGGGGAAUCUGCCUUUGAGCGGGGGACAACAUUUGGAAACGAAUGCUAAUACCGCAUAAAAACUUUAAACACAAGUUUUAAGUUUGAAAGAUGCAAUUGCAUCACUCAAAGAUGAUCCCGCGUUGUAUUAGCUAGUUGGUGAGGUAAAGGCUCACCAAGGCGAUGAGACAUAGCCGACCUGAGAGGGUGAUCGGCCACAUUGGGACUGAGACACGGCCCAAACUCCUACGGGAGGCAGCAGUAGGGAAUCUUCGGCAAUGGACGAAAGUCUGACCGAGCAACGCCGCGUGAGUGAAGAAGGUUUUCGGAUCGUAAAACUCUGUUGGUAGAGAAGAACGUUGGUGAGAGUGGAAAGCUCAUCAAGUGACGGUAACUACCCAGAAAGGGACGGCUAACUACGUG
rnacentral:rRNA from 1 species